GACGAACGCUGGCGGCGUGCUUAACACAUGCAAGUCGAACGGAAAGGCCCUGCUUUUGUGGGGUGCUCGAGUGGCGAACGGGUGAGUAACACGUGAGUAACCUGCCCUUGACUUUGGGAUAACUUCAGGAAACUGGGGCUAAUACCGGAUAGGAGCUCCUGCUGCAUGGUGGGGGUUGGAAAGUUUCGGCGGUUAGGGAUGGACUCGCGGCUUAUCAGCUUGUUGGUGGGGUAGUGGCUUACCAAGGCUUUGACGGGUAGCCGGCCUGAGAGGGUGACCGGCCACAUUGGGACUGAGAGACGGCCCAGACUCCUACGGGAGGCAGAAGUGGGGGAUAUUGCACAAUGGGCGGAAGCCUGAUGCAGCAACGCCGCGUGCGGGAUGACGGCCUUCGGGUUGUAAACCGCUUUCGCCUGUGACGAAGCGUGAGUGACGGUAAUGGGUAAAGAAGCACCGGCUAAAUACGUG
rnacentral:rRNA from 1 species